rnacentral:rRNA from 1 species
UACGUAGGUGGCGAGCGUUGUCCGGAUUUACUGGGCGUAAAGAGCGCGCAGGCGGUCGUGCAAGUCGCGUGUGAAAGCCCCCGGCUCGACUGGGGAGGGUCACGCGAUACUGCUCGACUCGAAGGCAGGAGAGGGAAGUGGAAUUCCGAGUGUAGAGGUGAAAUUCGUAGAUAUUCGGAAGAACACCAGUGGCGAAGGCGACUCGCUGGACAAGUAUUGACGCUGAGGUGCGAAAGCGUGGGGAGCAAACAGG